rnacentral:pre_miRNA from 1 species
AUAGUAGGGCCUGAUCCAAAGUCCAUUAAAGUCAAUGGGAGUCUUUCUCUUGACGUCAGUGGGCUGUGGAUCAAGUCCAUAAU